rnacentral:snoRNA from 1 species
ACGCCCUCUGCCUCGCUCGGCUGAGAUCUUUCCAAUCUCAGUCUUGAGCUGGAUGACUAGAAGCUGAUAUGGCAUCUUGUCACUGGGCUAUAGCAAGAAGACUUCUUUGAGUACGAAGGUAUCACUUUAUUCUCACGAUACCGAUUUGUAAUUAGAACGUCUUACAUGC